rnacentral:tRNA from 1 species
GCCCUCGUAGUCAACUGGAAGAUCGUGGCCUCCCAAGUCCAGGGCUGCGAGUUCGAGUCUCGCCGAGGGCA